AGAGUGAACGCUGGCGGUAGGCCUAACACAUGCAAGUCGAACGGCAGCACAGUGGUAGCAAUACCAUGGGUGGCGAGUGGCGGACGGGUGAGGAAUACAUCGGAAUCUACCUUUUCGUGGGGGAUAACGUAGGGAAACUUACGCUAAUACCGCAUACGCCCUUUGGGGGAAAGCCGGGGAUCGCAAGACCUGGCGCGGAUAGAUGAGCCGAUGUCGGAUUAGCUAGUUGGUGAGGUAAAGGCUCACCAAGGCGACGAUCCAUAGCUGGUCUUAGAGGAUGAUCAGCCACACUGGGACUGAGACACGGCCCAGACUCCUACGGGAGGCAGCAGGUGGGGAAU
rnacentral:rRNA from 1 species